rnacentral:misc_RNA from 1 species
GAAAUGCGAUACGUAGUGUGAAUUGCAGAAUUCCGUGAACCAUCGAAUCUUUGAAUGCAUAUUGCGCCUGGCGCCCCAUUUGGUGGCUCCAGACAUGUCUGCCUCAGCGUCGUGAUGGACCCUUGGGCCUCCUACUAUUUUUUUUAAUAGUAGUUGGCUCAGAUCUGGCAGUCUCAGUGAUAGCAAUAUUACUGGGUCUGCUGAAGCUCAGAGACUCAAACCAUAGGACCCAUACCAAAGGGACAAUAGCUGGUUAGGUUUCUUUUGAAGCUACUUGCUAGUGUCCUGGGACCUUUGCAGUUACUUAGAGUCAGCAGGAAACUAAUCAUCUUUUUGACCUGAGUUUAGGCAAGGCUACCCGCUGAACUUAA